rnacentral:lncRNA from 1 species
UUUGGGUUGAGAAAAAAUAACAUUUUGGUUAAAGGGGGAGAAAGGGUUGAAUAUUGGGCUUUAUGUGGGUGAAGGAAGAUAACGCGAGGUAAAAAGGGAGAGAGUAGGUUGAUUAGGAGAGAGAGACUUGGACGAAAUAGCGUGAAAGGAGGGGGGGACAAAACAUUAACGAAGAAAAAGAACAGAAAAACAAAAUUAGAAAAAGGGGAGGUAAAUGUUUUGUUUGUGGGUUUUCUUUGGUAGAUUCUUACAGAGAGAAAGCGCAUCAGUUACAGGGCAGAGAAUGGGGGGUGCGCGAGGUUGCUUAAGGACGGAGAGGGCCGCAGGAAGAGGUGAGUAGAAGAGAAGAGAUUGCUGGUUGCGAGAUGGCGGAAUUGGUCGCAAUUGGGUGGCUGAGGAGCAGAGGAUUAGGUUGGUGGAGAGAGGGGCAAAGAAAUUGGUAUGGCGGAGGUAGCAGCCGAGGUUGGGAGGACAGCGGAGGAGGAGGAGGGAAGAAGGGAAGCGAGGGAAGUAGGCGUGGGCUGAUGUUUCUGAGAUGGGGCAGAGGAGAGCACAAGGUAAAAGUAGAGGGCAGUGACCGUGGUGUUGAUUGAGGAAGAAAGAGGCGGAGAUGAUUGCAGGUGAAGAAGGACGAGCGAGAUUGGUUACAGGCAGCGGAAUUGAGCGCUGCCGAAGAGAGAAGAAGGAGGUGGUGGUUCGAGCUACUACAAGGUGAGUUAUUAUUGCAAGUGGUUGAGAAGAAGAUGAGAGAGGUGCUAGUGGUGGAACAGCAAGGGUGUGGUGGUUGAGUGAUAGCUGGCUGCAGAGCAGAAGAAGAGGAUGGUGAGAGAAGACGGAGGAAGAAUUGCAAGGAUGGAGUGUGGCAGUAAUUGGGGAAGAGAGUAAAAAUGGUGGGAAUGGAGGAGUGCUUGAGAGUAGAAGGUGAUGCUGCGGGUUGGAAUUUGUUUCUUCAGAGACGGAGGUGUGGAGAGGACGGUACGCUACGCGAAAGGAUAGAAGUUGUCGCGCACGGGGGUCGGUUGGCAGUCAUGAACGGCAGUGAGAUGGGAGUCACGGACGGCGUUGGGGUGGAAGUACUAGGGAUUGAUUGAACACACGACGUUGGGGAAAAAGGUUUGGAAAAUGGUGGUCACGUGGGACCACAGAUCGUGAGAGGGAAAAAGGGAACACGAGGGUGCAUAACGGGCAGUGAUGUGAAGGUACACAGCAAAAGAAUGGGGAAAGGAGGUGGACAAGAGGGACUACUAGAAAAGGAGAAAGUGGACCCGAGGGUGCACAGGGCGUAAGUAAUCGUGCAGUAAUAAGAGGAAAAGGAAGAGAGAGAAGUGGUGGUCCCGUGGGACCACAAGGGAGAAGAAGGGAAGGUGGUGGUCAUGAGGGAUCACGGAAGAGGAAAAAGGAAGGCCAUGGUCAUGCAAGACCACAAAGGGGAAAGGGAAAAAGAGAGGAGAAAAAAAUGUUGUGCUCGGUAGUGGGAGUGCCGAGCUAGACAGAGAGAGGAGAGAGAGCAAAAGAAGAGAGGGAGAGAAGAGAGAGAAAGAGAGAGGGAGAGAAGAGAGAGAAAGAGAAGGAAAGAAGAGAGAAAGUAACUUUAAGC